rnacentral:rRNA from 1 species
UACAGAGGGGGCAAGCGUUGUUCGGAAUUACUGGGCGUAAAGGGCGCGUAGGCGGCCCGCUAAGUCGAACGUGAAAUCCCCGAGCUCAACUCGGGAACUGCGUCCGAUACUGGCGGGCUUGAAUCCGGGAGAGGGAUGCGGAAUUCCAGGUGUAGCGGUGAAAUGCGUAGAUAUCUGGAGGAACACCGGUGGCGAAGGCGGCAUUCUGGACUACAACUGACACUGAGGAACGAAAGCCAGGGGAGCAAACGGG